rnacentral:rRNA from 1 species
AUUGAACGCUGGCGGAAUGCUUUACACAUGCAAGUCGAGCGGCAGCGCGGGGGCAACCCUGGCGGCGAGCGGCGAACGGGUGAGUAACAUAUCGGAACGUACCCAGUCGUGGGGGAUAACUAUCCGAAAGGAUAGCUAAUACCGCAUACGUCCUGAGGGAGAAAGCGGGGGAUCGCAAGACCUCGCGCGAUUGGAGCGGCCGAUAUCGGAUUAGCUAGUUGGUGGGGUAAAAGGCUCACCAAGGCGACGAUCCGUAGCGGGUCUGAGAGGACGACCCGCCACACUGGAACUGAGACACGGUCCAGACUCCUACGGGAGGCAGCAGUGGGGAAUUUUGGACAAUGGGGGCAACCCUGAUCCAGCCAUUCCGCGUGAGUGAAGAAGGCCUCGGUU